CAGCACACAUUAGGUUCACUUUGGCCCAUUUUUAUUUUAUUUCUUAUUUCACUAAUUAUAAUAACUUGCGUUACGAUAAUAUGAAACAUGGGGAUUUCAAUGGUCAAUUAAAUAAAGGAUACCCAGCAGUAUUUGGCCAAAUCUUUAGGUCUAAUCACUUGAAACCCUAAAACUAUAAAUGCAUCUCAUCUUCCACACAAGUAACCCUAGCCCCCUUCUACCCUUCACUCAAAUCUCUACAUCUCUCUACACUCCGGCAACCGGAGCCGAAGUCCGGCGAUCUCCGGAGACCCCCUCCUUCUCUCCGAUCAAGCACCACCAUCACCCUCCUCCUCCCUUUUUCGCGCUCACACCUGGCCGACCACCUCCAUUUUGCGAAAACAGAACCUUCUUCACUGUGUACUUUCUCACGCCACCACUAUACCUGAUUCGCUGAACCUUACACCCUCGCCACUCUCGAAGACACCUCCCGAAUAAGCGAACAAGAAGCAAGACGACCGGAGAAACCCGAAGAGUUCACCGGAGUUCGAAGUUCGCUACAUCGGAAGUUCACGACAGAACCGCGUAACAUUCGUUUCGGGUAAUCGUGUUCGUUCUCUUGGAAUUCUCAAAUCUUUACUCGUGCCUUAUUUCAAGAAAUUUUCAUACGCAACCAAUGGUAAUCGUGUUCGUUCUCUUGGAAUUCUCAAAUCUUUACUCGUGCCUUAUUUCAAGAAAUUUUCAUACGCAACCAAUGUUAAUUAUUGAGAUGAUACUCAAGACGAAACAAGAUUUAGG